AGUUCCUGAAGGGAAGUAUAGGCUCACUGCUACAGUGUCGAAGUCGUCAAUUGCUUUGAUUUCUGGAAUGUUUGCGGUGGCUUGGACGGCAACCUACAAUCAAAUAUUAUCACAAGUAGUAAAGUGCUUGUAAAUAAAAGAAACAAUAGUUAAGUUUCUAUGAUGUUUUACCAAAGAUUCUUACCCUCACUGGAUACUCUCCAAGAACCCAAGUAAUUAUGUCGAUAUCAUGGACCAUGCAGUCGUGGAAAAUACCACCAGAGUGUUUCAAGUAAUCAAUGGUAGGAAGAGGAGAAUCCCGUGAGACAGUUUUAAUUACAUAAGAACAGCAGAGAAAUGAUGAACAAUCGACAAUAUGCAGACGAAAAGAAAAGUCUACGUUGAUGAAGAAGAGUUGGAACCCAAGAAGAUUACUCACUGCUUAUAAAGAUAGUCCUCUACAGGCGGCUUCGGCGACGGUUUGGUGUACGGUGAUGCUUCCUUAAAUUUUGCUGUUGCCAUGGUAUCUAAAUUUUACUGAAUAAUUCAGAAGAGCCGAUAUACAAUAAGUCAGCAGUCUCGUUGCUCAGCGAGACUCUGUUCGGCUACUACGGUUCUUAUACACAUAAACGUGCCGGUCCUCGAGGUGGGGGAAGACCAAACAUGAUUAUGUGUGACGAAAAUUACAACGCGCGAAUCUCUCCAGCAACGAUUUCAGAUUUUUUAAACGAUUAAAUUGCCCAGAGGUCGCGUGACUUUUUAUUAUUUGUAUUUAAUUAUGAAAACACUUGGCGCCAUAACUAUACCCUCAGAAGAAAUACAAUUUGAUACAAUAUGUAUUUAUUAAAAUGUAUAGAAUAAAGUUUCACUGAAUUUUCUCAAGCUUUAAGGAAUUUUCAAGUGAAACAGUAGAAGGAUAAUUGUCUAAAAGGUGCAUUAAGAUGGAUGAUUAAUUAUUUUGGAUAAUACUGUACUUCAUGAAUACAAAAAGAGAUAAUUUCUCAUAUUUCAGCAUCUUUUCUUAUUUGUAAAAAAAGUGGUCGUUUCUUUUACAUUGAUUGCCAAAUUCAUGCAAAAUCAAGCGCUUUUUCUAAAAUAUUGAACUGCUUAUCUAAAGUCAGUGGAAUUUAUUGAAUCUAGUUAAUCAUUCCAUAAAUCAAACCGCAUAUUUCGUCCAUAUAUAACGUGGUUCGAGAAUUUUCGACCGCUUUAUUGAAGUAAUUUGUUAGGUACAAUCAGACAAGUUAGCUGCGGAGUCGCUCGUGCCAAUUGUCGAUAUUAUAAGUAUUUCUUUAUAAGACUUUACUAGAGACUUCGAUUGUUCUCAGCGUGUCAGUCAGUCGCGGCAAAGAGAAACAUAAAAUUGCCGCGACCGAGUUGCAAAUAAGUGCAAGAACAAGUGUUACUUCUGUAUAAAAUGAUCAGCGUCCACCAAAGAUAUGCUGGACUUCACUUCUCUGAUAAAGAACAUAAUCAUCAAAAUACUAAUAUGAUUAUUUAACUUUGUUUUGGAAGAGUUACCUUUUGUCAGAUUGUAAUUCUGCUGAUACUGUUACAUCUUUGGGCUUAGAGAAGUCACAUUCUAAAACAAAAGCUGCAUCACCUGGCGUGAUUAAUUCGUCGUCAUGCUGGAUGACUAGGGUGUUCUUGUACUUAUCAUCAAGCUGAAAUAUUUUGCACUGGUUGAAGGGGAUGUCAAUGGUAAAGUUACCACCAUGAGAUGGAUCUAAAAAACAAGGAGCCUGUCUCGAAUAGAAGCUACCU